AAAACAAAGUUCAAUUUCUGCUUUAGAGAUAGAAUAUUUUCUCUUAAAAACUCAGGCAAAUUGGUGUUUAUCUUGUCUCCUGUCAGAGUAAACAAAU
rnacentral:snoRNA from 1 species